rnacentral:lncRNA from 1 species
UUAAAAGAUGGCUAAAUUAUAGAAAACCUUCUUAUAAAUACUCUUUGUUUCAUUUUCUAUUUCUAACUUUUAAAAUUUUAUAUUUUAUCCUCUCAAUAUUUCAAGUUGUUGCAUUUAACCUCCUCUGUUACGGUUCCAUCACUAUUCCGUCCAUUUCUUAUAAUUUCUACCGAAAAUAUUUAAGAAUUUAUUAAAAAUUAAUUUUUUACAGAAAAAAGUAAGGGUAGUUUGAUCAUUUUACCCUCCCCAUUAAUGUCGCACCUCCAUUCAAAAUAUUUCUGAAAUUUACUGACUGUCCUUAGUGCAAGUGGCAAAGGGUUUGGUGAUUGAUAUCCGAGGUUCCAAGUUCGAAUCUUAGUUGAUUCAUAUUUUCAGCUAAGUUUAUUUCUAAAAUGAAAUAAAUGAAACGGGUAGCAUGUUACCUAUCUCUCAAAAAAAAAAAUUCUGAAAUUUUAAAGGGGCAAAAUAUAGUUUUUUGAAAAUUAGAAAAAAAAGCGAAUAUUUAUAAGGAAAUUUUAUAUAUUUUAGCCUUAAAAUAAUUAAUAUUUUUAUCAUGUUUUUUUUUAAGCUAAAUGUACCUCCAAAAAAAAAAAAGGAUGUAGAUUAAUUUUACACUUUGUCCAUCCAAAUAACCAAUAUAUUUUUCACACGAAAUUUAUUAAUUUUCGUUUUCUUUAAUAUUAAAGAUCUAAAAUGAGUGUCUACAUUCUUCCAUGGAUGACCUUAUGAUUUAUACCCUACUUCUAGGUGUACAACCUUAAAAUUAGCAUUUCUCUUUAUUAUAUGGGUCAUCAUUUUCUGUGCUUCAAAUAAUGAAAAAGGAAUUGGAAAGGGUUAAAUAAUGUUAUUAAAAGAAUUAAUUUUGAUAUCGAUGGUAUAAUAAUUAAAUUUGACAGUUUUUUAACUCUAGAAUGAGAGAAAGUUUUCAGAAAUAAGCUACUUUUUUUUGAGAAAAAAAAUAAGCUACUUUGUUGUGAGAAUUUUGUGGGUUAGGGUAUGUCAAGAAGGUAAAUGAGUUAGCUUUUGAAUCCGAAAAGCAGAACAUCCUAUUUGAAUUUCUAGUUCUCUAAUAGGGUAAAAAUAUCCAGUAGUUUCACUAAAAACUUUAUCAAUCGUUUUUUGAAUAUCUUUUCUCGAUUGAUAUUUCAGAAAAAAAACCCCAACCGAACUAAAUAGGUCCCAAAUCAAACACUUUAUUUUGGACACUAAAAAAGUUGGGUCGAAACCGAUCAUAUCUAGUGCAGUUGACUAAGAACUUGAUAGUUGGUAUUCGAGGUUCUUAAUUCAAAGCCUAGUUGCUUAAUAUUUCUUCUUUUUUUUUUUUUUUGAGAAAAAAGUAGCGUGUUACUUACUUCAUUCAUAAGAAUGAUGAAUUAAGCAUCAGGAGUGAGGAAGUAAAGCGAAAAAAAAAUAGUAUAGUACGAAACACUAAAACAUUAAGACAAAGGUCGUUUGGGCGAAAGGGAGUCCUUCCACUGGGUCACAAAUUGCUUGACCUUACCCACUACCAUCAUUGGAUCGACGUUAGCCUUUUGAAAGAUGAUACUAUUCCUUAUGUCCCAGAUGAUCCACCAACAGGCCGACAGAUUGGUCAAUCUGGUUCGAGAUAGCAGAGCACUGUUCCAAGAUAAUUAACGAAGUGGCAUUUUAACGCAUGAUAAUUAAGUUUAUGAUUAUUGUUUAUAGCUCUUGUUCCACUCUGGUGUAGAGCAUCAUAUUGCUCGAUAACGUGCACUUGUUGUAUGUGCUAGUAACUAAGAUGCACUAUAUUUUGUAUCCUGCUAGAUUCUCACCACUUUAGAUUUUUUUUUUUUUUUUUAGCAAAUACUUUACUGUGAGUGUUUGCAACUAAAAGUAGAAGGAGAGAGUAAACCAACAAGCACUGGAACAAAAAUGUUCCAAACAUUCUUCAAUGAAAUUAAAACUUAAAAGAAACAUUGAAUCUUAGAACAACAUCUCAAAAUUUUGAACCGCGAACAGGCAAAAAAUAAAUGCGAGUUAAUGCAGGAAACCAAACAAUUAAUGGCAACUUCAACUUGCAUUAAUUAUAAGCCUCUUUAACCUUAGAAAACAAACGAAAUCAACCGACAUAGUAACGAUUCUAUACGAGCCAGUAUUUUCAGUCACAUCAACUCAUGAAAAAAGAUCACAUGUUGAACUGUACCCUGCUUUAUUAAAAUGUAUAAGAUGGCUAUCUCAUUAAUGAUGGAUUUAUUACCAUCUACAUUUGCUAAAAAAUUAGCAAAAUUUGAAUAUUUAGAAUUGCCUAGCUAAGUUCCGGUCUGACUCGUCUUUGAAACAGCUUCUCUAUUUCGAAAAACUGUGGUUAUAUCUUUAGCAAAUGAAGAACUUGGAACUUUUAUAUGGUAAGAAUCUAAAAUGAAUUUUUCGACCUCUAAAAAUAGAACCUUUCACACUUUAGUAGAAAAGGUUGUUAUAACUUCUUAAUGAUUUUUUAAUCGAUCGUCCCUAGUACAAGGGGCAAAAUGCUUGAUGGUUUAUACCUGAGAUCUCAAGUUCAAAUUCUAGUUGAUUCAAAUUUCUAGCUAAAUUUAUUUCUAAAUGAAAUAAAUGAAGCGGAUAGUAUGCUACCUAUCUCUCUCAAAAGAAAAAACUUCUUAAUGAUUUUUCAGGCAAUUUUACUUGCGCAAUAUAUCUAGAAAUUCAUCUGUUUAUAUGCCUACAAGCAUAUAUUAUUUUUUCCAUUUAAAAUCACCGCACUUUGCAAAUUUCCAACAUUUAUCUAGAAUUCUUAUUCUUAGGCUUUAUUGAAUUAAUGAGCCCCAUUAAAUGCCUUGCUAAUCUCUCUCUUAAUUUUCCAAAGACAUUGUCUAGUAAUCCAUGAGGACACAGCCAAACCAUGCAUUAACUAAGAGGAAUGUGUCUUGACCUAAACAUUAGUGCACAUGUAUAUAUAUAUAUAUAUAUAUAUAUAUAUAAAAUUAAGCUGGAAUACUAUCAAUAGCACCAAGCUAUUGGUGCUAUUAGUUUUUUAGCCCUUGGAUUGAGAAAUGUGCGGUUAGAAUGAUAUGGGUCCCUGAGGGUUGAGUGGAUGGUUGGUCGAAUAGUAUAAUCUAAUGGGUAAAAUUAUCCAGCCCUUGAUGCUAUUGAUAGUAUCCCAGCCGGACUCUCUCUCUCUCUCUCUCUCUCUCUCUCUCUCUCUCUCUCUCUCUCUCUCUCUAUAUAUAUAUAUAUAUAUAGACACACACACACACACAAUCAUGUACUUUGCACUCAGCACGGACGAAAGAGAAAUUUCCUGGCAUUGAGGAGACACUAACAAACAAACACGUAAGUAGAGCACUCACCAAACCAACAUUAUAUUUUUUUUCUAAUCUAACGUGCGUGUAUGUAUAAUAGCCCUUCCAAAUCCUACCGUAGCACAUGCCAAUUUAUAAAAGAUAUAUGCCAAUCAACAUUAUUGCUGGGAAACUUUUGAUUUAUUUAAGAAAGAAAGAUUGGAAGUUUGCCCCUGAAACAAUUCGAAUCGGCAUCUUCAAAUAAGUUCUCAUUUUUUCCAUCCAACAAUAUUUAAUGAGUAGAACCGAUUAUUCCUAGCGUAGGUGGUAAAAGGCUUAAUGGUUGCUAUCCGAAGUUUCAAAUUCGAAUCUUAGUUGAUUCAUAUUUUCAGCUAAAUUUAUUUUUAAAUAAAAUAAACGAAACGGUUAGUAUGCUACCUAUCUCUCUCAAAAAUAAUAAUAAUAAUGANCGAAAAGAUUUAAAAUUUGAUUUCUAAACACUUCAAGUGGUAUAGAUCAUGUUCAACGGUGCCGAUCGUCGAUUCGGAGGCUCCAUCAUCGAAAAUAAAUGGGUGGCAACGGAGCCCGUUUGCUAUCGAUAGUAUUCUAGCUCAACUCAUAUAUAUAUAUAUAUAUAUAUAUAGAGGAGAGAGAGAGAGAGAGAGAGAGAGAGAGAGUCCGGCUACUAUACUGUUAUGAGUACGAUCGCCUUCGUACUUAUAAGUCGUUUUCGAUGAUAGAACUUUCGAAUCAACGAUCUAUAUCGUUAAACAUUAUCUAAGUCCAUUUAAAACUUUUAGAAAUUAAAUUUCAUAAUUUUUUAAAAUCAUUUAGCUUACGAUCAGAAAAUCUCAAAAUUGAUAAUUUUUAACGGCCGGUAUUAAAUACUUGUUAGUUUAACGGUGUAAAAGAAUCGGAAUCAGUUAAAUUUUUGAUAAAAAAUUUUGUUCACUAUCUAGAUAAAGAUCAAUAACUCCGAUAUUAAAUUAAGGAAUCCGAUUAUCCAUUUUUAGGAUGUUAUUCAAUUUUGAUCGUUCAUUUUAUACCCGCUUGAUGGACCUUAUUAUGAUUUUUGAAAAUUACGAAAUUUAUUUUCUAGAAAUUUUAAAUACUCUAGAUCAUAUUUAACGGUGUGGAUCGUCGAUUCUAAAACUACAUCAUCGAAAAUAAUUUAUGAGUACGAAGGGCUCUAUACUCAUAAGAGUAUAGUGUGAAAUAACCGUUGUGCUCUAAAAGCUUAAACUAUUAGAGAACGAUGCUUAUAUAAUUUUGUAUUUAACAUAUAAUAGCCCUACUCUCUCUCUCUCUCUCUAUAUAUAUAUAUAUACACCCUACAGAGAGAGACUUAGAGAGGGAGACUAGCUAUACAUAAUAAUAUUCUAAUAUUCUAAUUCAUAAAGUAAUGCCAUUUCAUUAACUAAGAGGAAUAUGUCUCAACUUCAACAUGUAUAUUGCUGUACCUCCUCUAUAUAUUCCCUAGAGAGAGAGAGAGAGAGAGAGAGAGAGAGAGAGAGAGAGAGAGGUGUGGUUUAUUGGGGAGUGAACUAAUAAGAGUAGGAAGUAAUCAUGGGAAGGGAAACAAAGUGAAUGAAUGAGUGGAGGGGUCAUCAUCAUUUAAACAGUAUACAUAGAAGUUAAAAGGAGGACAUGUACAUGCUGCAGUUAAAUUAUCACUGCCACCCACUGCCUCCCACAUUUAUUUGCAUUUGUCCUUCCCCCUCUCGCCUCAUGCAUUAAUUUUCAUUUUCAUUUUUUCGGAGAAAAAUAUAUGGUAUGCAUAUUUGUUUUAUUCCAUACAUCCACACAUGCACAUAACAUUAGCACCUCAGUUUAAAAUUUUCAAUUCGUCGGAACCCAUCAAAGUACUAUAUAUAUCUUAGGAACCAAGAGAGUCGAAUCAAUUUAGUUGAAUUUUGAGUUGAAUCUACUUAUGUUUUGUUGACAAGGACCAUUAAUAAUACAUAAAACUAUCUGCUGGGACCUAGAUACUCCAUUCUUCGGAAUUAGACUGAAAUAGGAGCAAUUUAAAAGAGAUUAACAUGAUAGACGGAAAAACGUUUUGUACACACAAACCAAAACUUUUAGCCACCGUUUGGUUGGGGGUUAAGGGGUGGAAUAACCCCUUAACCCCCAAUUUAUACCCAAACACCACUCUUUUGGGGUGGGGUUAGUAAACCCCACCCCAAACCUUACUAACCCCACCCCAAACCGGGUUAGUGGGGUUUACUAACCCCACUCUCCCUCCCAACUUUAACCCCGCACGCAUCCCGAGUCCUCACCUUUUUCUUCUUUAUCAAUCAUUAACCCCACUCCCCCUCCCAACUUUAACCCCGCACGCAUCCCGAGCUCUCACCUUUUUCUUCUUUAUUAAUCAUUAUCUUUUUAUCCCACCUACUUUAACCAAACACUUUUUUUCACUAUCCUAGACUAACUCCAAUCUCCAACCAAACAUAAAAAAAUUUUAACACCAUUUUAACCCUGAACUUAACCCUAUCCCUGAAAUAGCUACUUUUUCUUAACCCCGAACCAAACGGGGGCUUAGUUGCUAAAAGUAGCUUAGAAGAUAUUCCGAGAUGUCGUUGAUGUGUUAGAUUUUAAACUAGCUUCUGGUGCGUGUAAUAAGUCUGAAAAGCUGUAUCAACUAUCAAUUAUCUUUCAUCUUACAAAAGUUAACUCAUUAGAGUACAUCCUGAGAAACAUAGAAUAUUGCUGUAUUUGUGGAAAAUAUAAUAAUUAAUGUCGACCUUAUCCAAAUUAAUAAGCAUGCUACAAAUUUCUAGUGCAGAAUAUUUGUCACGCCCUUUUAUAGCAAGAUAACCUCCAUCUUUUCCUUUAUCUGCUGCUCCUUCUUUGACAAAUGUAGCCAUUACCUCUAUCGAAAGGAUGCCUAAAUAAAUUACAUAUGUAUAAUCCCUGCAUAUAGAGGACUCUCGUAGUUUCUUUAUUUUCUCUUUUUUUGUUUGGAAUGAAUGCACUCAUAUGUAUAAUGUGUCGGAUCGUUGGCGCUAACCAUUAAUCUCAAAAAUUCAAGUUGUUAGAAAUAUACAACCAAUUCACUUAAAGCGUAUAGAUACAGCGCCCACGGAUCUCAAUUAUGACUCGGCCCACUUAGCCUCACGUCACUUCGAAUAUAACUCGGCCCACCCAACCUAACGUCAUUUCAAACAUGACUUGGCCUAACAUGACCUCCCGCCACAGGACAGACAGUAUGCUGGCUCAUUUAAGCCAACAUAAUGGUUUCGCAAAAACAAAAAAAAUUUCUCGAACCUGUUUGAGCAAGACAUGCUAAUCAUGCUUGUUUCGGUCCCAGUAAUUAGCAAUGUUAACAGUAUAUGCACAGCUAAGGAGAGAUGUACUCAAAUGAGAGGGGCUCGUUUCAUUCUCCCAGAUGUUCUUGAGAUGUGUUUAAUUGUAAAUAAAUCGAGUGCAAUUUUUAUAUAAGUCUACAGCGUUGACGUAUCUACUGUAUUAUACUGUGCAUUUGUAUUGGAGUUCGAUUUCUUAAUUAUACAAACACAAGUAUUCUUAUCUCGUUAAUUUUAUGUACGGUGGAUUCGGGUCAUGUGACGACAUUUUUGUCUCACGUGAGCUCCGGGAAUCUCGCUUCCACGUAUGUAUAUGAUAUAUCCGUCUCUCACAUUCCCCCAUUACUCAAAAUCACACACAUUCUCAAAUCCCAACGAUUUGACCUAUACAUUGCUGCACGAUACCACCACAUAGUAACUUUGACAUGUGGCAUCAAACAAACGGCCCAGAUCAAAUUAUGAAAAACUUUCUCAUUUUAGAUUAACUGUGUAUUGGAUUCGAAAAACUUAAAUCAAUCCGAUCAGAUGAGAUUCGAAUUAGCUCGAUUUCGACUCGGACCCGAUAGACCUGAGCUGAUGGGUCAUUCGAAUGUUCGAAUGUUUAACAUUACCACUUUGCCAAUAUAUAUCCCAACUUUUAAUUAAAAAACUAUAUAUGUAAUUUUCAAGUCAACUUACAAGUCACACGCUAAUAACUCCAUUCAUUUAUUGCACGUCCAAUCCCCAUCCAAACUUGGAUUUGACAAGUUUGCUGUCCAGAAUUAUUGAUUGAAGCCGAACAAGCGACUCGUGCCAAAUUUUUUAGCUCAUAGUAAAUACGUGAUAAAUUUAUUAAAUGUCAUUAUUGUUUGCUCAUUAAGCUUAAUUAGAUUUAAUGAACCUGAUCUGAUCUGAUUCCAGUAAAAAUUAUCGGCCUAAAAUGCGCAAUGAGAUCAAGUUAUAUAGAAUUACGUUUUCCAAUCAAUAUGUACCCACUAUAUAAUUAUUAGUCCUUUUCUUUAUACAUAUAUAAUGAACUCUCCCAACAUUUUGUCAUAUCACCAAUUUCCUAGCUUUCACAAAAGCCACACAUAAUCGACCAUUCGUAUGAUCUUCAUUCCAGUAUAAAGUUAGUUGUCUCCAUGCCACAUUAAUACAUAGAGAAGCAACCGAGAAGUCCAUUCUUAAAUGACUAUUUAGGCAUGAGUACGAUUUAUGAAUGCCUUAUUACUUUUUGGACCACUAUCUUUUUAGGCCCACAAUGCAUCUUAUCUUCGUGCGACAUGCAUUUUGUGUAUAGAGAAAUUGUUUUUAUCAACUGUAUUAUAAAUCUUUUUUACGGUAGCUCGCGUGUAUGUUGAUUGGCGAAGUGAAGGUAGGUCAAAGCUUUUGCUGUCGACAGCCGAAAGUACUUGGCAAAUUCUGUGAGGCCUAUUAGAUUAAGCCGGAUCAGUUCCAACUCUUCAUUAUGUGGAACUUAGAUGGCACAGUUUUAAAAGCCACUUUUGAUCUUAAAACGGAGUGAGUCGAGCUUGAAUUGAGUUGGGCACUUUGUGAUUUUAAGUUCUAGUUGGUUUGAAAGUGAAUUUCCUACUCUCCGAUAAGUACUACCGAAAUUCCAAAAUUCGUUUCGACAUCUUGAGCUACUCUCUUAAAUAGUGAGCCACAACUCAUGUAGUGGUCCUUGUGAACACGCGGCCCCAUCACUUUGGGUCACAGGAGAGUGAGCAUGCAACUUACACUUGAUAAAGAAAGGUCUUAGGUUAGGGAUAGACACAUUGGUCCGACGAAUGGGUUUAGACGCACGAGUGAACUCGUGGUGUGACUCGUCAAUAUAAUUGGGAUUGAAGUAGUUGAGAACUUCGGCAAGUAAUUGGGAUUGAAGUAGUUCCAUGUUAUGAGUUGAAAGUUUUUUGCUGCAGCUAAAAACUAAAAUGUCCGAGUUCGAGUACCAAAAGUUUUUAUUUAGAGCUUACGAUUUUGCUGGAGAGAAAAGUUAACUGGAAAAUUUUAGCAGAACCUAAUAGCUUGAUCCAGCUAUUAGGUUAUAUUUGCAAAUACAUAUAAUCGAAGAGGGUAUUUACGGAAAGAUCGAUCUUGGACAACUUUUUAGGACACUGAAUUAAUCUUUUCUCAUUUGUACAGGGUUGGUGCUAAAUGAUUGCAUAAAGAGUCAGUUGCCUAUCUCAAUCAAAAUUCAAUUGAGUGUCUUGUCAAACGAGAAACAUUAUACGCCACAAUAGUUUUUUUUUUUUUUUUUUAAAAAAAAACUUAGCAUUCAACUCGGGAAAUUAAUUACAUCAAAUUCUCUUUAUAGCUUUAAUUAGCGAUAAUUAAUUUAAUCUGCGCCUACGGGGAACUCCUUUUACUUAUCUUCAAUUUAAUUAUGGUACGUGCAUAUAUUAAUUAUCUUCUCAUAGAUUAAUUGAACUUGUAUAAAUAAUAUACCCAGGGUGUGCCAAUGUCCUUUUUUCCCCUCUCUUUUGGUGAUACAUUCGUAAAAAUUGCUUUGAGUAUCAUAACCUCUUAAUUCAUCAAAGCUAGGAAAUUAAAUAACAAUUUCAUUCCCCAAAACAUACUAGAAAGGAAAAAAGGGGGGGAAAAAAAAGAAGCUUGGUUUCUACAAUUUCGUUUGUGCCUUUAAUUACUAUGUAGCACAAAAAGCUUAGGAAACUCCUACAAACUAGUGGUACAUUUGGUCUAGAAUACUAGAAUAUUGUACAAUAAAAGUAUCACUGUACCACGCAAACAAUUGUGUGGCAAUACAAGGCCUUAAUUACUUAGCAUUUUGAUCGAGCAAGGGUAUUCUCUAAUGUUCCAUUUGAGGAAUAAAGUGAUCACUUACAAUGAACUAAUAUUUACUACACAGUAGUAUCUCUUUGUAUUUGAAUAGGAAAAUGGCUUGAGGUGACUCUACACAAUGCUGCAUUGCGUUCGGCCGACAAAGCGGAGUUCUGAGUUGUUUUAUUUAAUUUCUAGUAGUCUACAAACACUUAGGAAUCCGGGCAAAAAUUUGAGUAACAUUCAGCCUUUAUUUGCUUGCAAAGCAUCGAUAUGCUGUUUUUGGGUUAAUUUGUGGCCUUGAGCUUAAUUAAUGCCUAGGGUUUUGCAAAUGUGACACAAUGCAAUCCAAUCAUCUCUCAAGGCGCACUCCAAGGCAUGUUUAAUAUUCUCUCUCUCUCUCUCUCUCUCUUUCUCUCUCUCUAAUAAACGUUACGAAAAUGUGCUUAAAAACAUACAUGAUGGAUAUAAAAAAUACGUAUUAGACCUCAUAUAUAGAAUAGCCCUAGCUAAAAUAUCAAUCAGAUAGAAAAUAAUUAUGAAAUAUAUAUAUUUAAUAUAUGAUUUGUAUUUUUUUUUUUGAAGUGCGAGAAAUAUAUUUGAUAUAUAAUUUACACAAGAAAAAAAAAAGGGUAUAUAUUAAAAAGCAAAAUGUAGCUUCCAAUAAGAAGGGUACUCUUUCUUAUAGUGCCUUGA